ncrna:unclassified sequences skipping-rope RNA
CGCAACGAAGGGCAGAACAGGCAGCUGCCGCCCGAACGUGAGACCGCAAAUACUCAUGCUGUUGGAGAUGCCGGAGCGCCGACCGGCUCGUUGCG